ACGCUCGACACCUACGGGGAGGCAGCAGUGGGGAAUAUUGCACAAUGGAGGAAACUCUGAUGCAGCGAUGCCGCGUGAGGGAAGAAGGUUUUCGGAUUGUAAACCUCUGUCUUUGGGGACGAUAAUGACGGUACCCAAGGAGGAAGCUCCGGCUAACUACGUGCCGGCAGCCGCGGUAAUCUGAGGCGGGCUGGCAAGGC
rnacentral:rRNA from 1 species